rnacentral:rRNA from 1 species
AGAGUUUGAUCCUGGCUCAGGAUGAACGCUAGCGGCAGGCCUAACACAUGCAAGUCGAGGGGUAAUCCCGCUUUCGGGCGGGAACGACCGGCGCACGGGUGAGUAACGCGUAUGCAACCUACCUUUAACAGGGGGAUAGCCCGAAGAAAUUCGGAUUAAUACCCCAUAAUACUAUGAAUAAGCAUUUAUUUAUAUUAAAAACUCCGGUGGUUAAAGAUGGGCAUGCGUAACAUUAGAUAGUUGGUGAGGUAACGGCUCACCAAGUCUACGACGUUUAGGGGGCCUGAGAGGGUGGUCCCCCACACUGGUACUGAGACACGGACCAGACUCCUACGGGAGGCAGCAGUGAGGAAUAUUGCGCAAUGGAGGAAACUCUGACGCAGCCAUGCCGCGUGCAGGAUGACGGCCCUACGGGUUGUAAACUGCUUUUAUACAGGAAGAAUUUUCCGCACGUGUGCGGGAUUGACGGUACUGUACGAAUAAGCACCGGCUAACUCCGUGCCAGCAGCCGCGGUAAUACGGAGGGUGCAAGCGUUAUCCGGAUUUAUUGGGUUUAAAGGGUGCGUAGGCGGGAUAAUAAGUCAGUGGUGAAAUACUGCAGCUCAACUGUAGAACUGCCAUUGAUACUGUUAUUCUUGAGUUCGAUUGAGGUAGGCGGAAUGUGUAAUGUAGCGGUGAAAUGCUUAGAUAUUACACAGAACACCGAUUGCGUAGGCAGCUUACUAAGUCGACACUGACGCUGAGGCACGAAAGCGUGGGGAGCGAACAGGAUUAGAUACCCUGGUAGUCCACGCUGUAAACUAUGAUCACUAGCUGUUGGCGAUACAUCGAUCAGCGGCAAAGCGAAAGCAUUAAGUGAUCCACCUGGGGAGUACGGUCGCAAGAUUGAAACUCAAAGGAAUUGACGGGGGCCCGCACAAGCGGUGGAACAUGUGGUUUAAUUCGAUGAUACGCGAGGAACCUUACCUGGGCUUAAAUGCAGAUUGACGUUUCGGGAAACCGGAAUUCUCUUCGGAGCGAUUUGCAAGGUGCUGCAUGGUUGUCGUCAGCUCGUGCCGUGAGGUGUCGGGUUAAGUCCCAUAACGAGCGCAACCCCUAUCGUUAGUUGCCAGCGGAUAAUGCCGGGGACUCUAACGAAACUGCCGGUGUAAACCGAGAGGAAGGUGGGGAUGACGUCAAAUCAGCACGGCCCUUAUGUCCAGGGCUACACACGUGUUACAAUGGUCGGUACAGAGGGCAGCUACCUGGUGACAGGAUGCUAAUCUCGAAAGCCGGUCUUAGUUCGGAUCGAAGUCUGCAACUCGACUUCGUGAAGCUGGAAUCGCUAGUAAUCGCGUAUCAGCAACGACGCGGUGAAUACGUCCCGGGCCUUGUACACACCGCCCGUCAAGCCAUGGAAGCUGGGGGUACCUGAAGUCUGUAACCGCAAGGAGCGGCCUAGGGUAAAACUAGUGACUGGGGCUAAGUCGUAACAAGGUA